rnacentral:RNase_P_RNA from 1 species
UGAGCCAUCCAGGCGAUCGCGGCCGCGUGCAUCGGCGUAUUUGGCGUGCAGGCAUUCGGCCGAGGAAAGUCCGGACUCCACAGAGCGCAGUGGUUGCUAACGGCAACCCAGGGUGACCUGCGGGCAAGUGCAACAGAAAAUAGACCGCCAGGAUAUUUCCUGGUAAGGGUGAAACGGUGCGGUAAGAGCGCACCAGCACGGCGGGUGACCGUCGUGGCUGGGUAAACCCCACUGGGAGCAAGGCAAGAAGCACGCGCAUUUCGCGCGUGCGCGCGAACGAUUCUAGGGCUGCUCGCCCGAGUUCGCGGGUAGCUGCUUGAGGCAGUCAGCGAUGGCUGACCCAGAUGGAUGAUCGCCGCCGCGGACGCGGUACAGAAUCCGGCUUAUCGGGUGGCUCAUUCG